UACGUAGGCAGCGAGCGUUGUUCGGAGUUACUGGGCGUAAAGAGUGCGUAGGCGGUUUUCUAAGUUUGGUGUGAAAUCUCCCGGCUUAACUGGGAGGGUGCGCCGAAGACUGGAAGGCUUGAGUAUGGGAGAGGUAAGCGGAAUUCCUGGUGUAGCGGUGAAAUGCGUAGAUAUCAGGAGGAACACCUGCGGUGUAGACGGCUUACUGGACCAUAAAUGACGCUGAGGCACGAAAGCGUGGGUAGCAAACAGG
rnacentral:rRNA from 1 species